rnacentral:rRNA from 1 species
AUUGAACGCUGGCGGCGUGCUUAACACAUGCAAGUCGAACGAGAACGGGUUAUAGCUUGCUAUAAUUGUCAGCUAAGUGGCGCACGGGUGAGUAAUGUAUAGGUAAUAUGCCUCUUACUAAGGGAUAACAAAUGGAAACGUUUGCUAAUACCUUAUACUCCUUAUUAACAUAAGUUAAUACGGGAAAGAUUUAUUGGUAAGAGAUUAGCCUGUAUUGUAUCAGUUAGUUGGUGGGGUAAUGGCUUACCAAGACUAUGACACAUAACUGGUUUGAGAGGAUGAUCAGUCACACUGGAACUGAGACACGGUCCAGACUCCUACGGGAGGCAGCAGUGGGGAAUAUUGCACAAUGGACGAAAGUCUGAUGCAGCAACGCCGCGUGGAGGAUGACACAUUUCGGUGCGUAAACUCCUUUUAUAUGAGAAGAUAAUGACGGUAUUAUAUGAAUAAGCACCGGCUAACUCCGUGCCAGCAGCCGCGGUAA